rnacentral:lncRNA from 1 species
AUCUUUUAUUGUCUCAAACUUAAUGAUCUUAAGGUCAAGUUUAACCUUCGUGUGCUUUACAGUGUUUUUGUUUUAGCGGUACUAGGGAUUAUUUUUUAUUUUUUUGUUGUUAUUUUUUUUGGUACUGGGGAUCAAACUCAAAACCAUGCGCUCGGCAGGCAGGUGCCAUACUGCUGAGCUGUACCCCCAGCCCAGUAUUAGGGAUUGAAUCCAGGAGUGCUUUAUCACUGAACCACAUCCCCAGCCUUUAUUUUUAUUUAUUUAUUUUUUAAUUUUUGAGACAAGGUGACCAAGUUUCCCAGGCUGGCCAGAAACUUGUGAUCCUCUUGCCUCAGGCUCCCUAGUAACUGGGAGUAGAGACUUAACCAAGCCGCUAUCACACCAACCACAUUUACAUAGUGUUGUGGUUUGUUGGGUCAGUGUCUCCCCCUGCCCCCCAGCAUCAGGGAUUGAACUCAGGGCUUUGCACUUGCCAGGCAGGUGCGGUGCCACUGAGCUACAUCCCUGGUCCUACAUAGUGUUUUAAUGUUCUAGGUGUCAUUGCUGCUUCCAGAAGGAGAAUGAGGUGUCCAAGUCAAGGUCAGCUCCCACCAUUCCCAGUCCUCUUGCACUGGGCAAACUCACACAUUUGUCUCAUCUGUCUGAGUUUUUUUUUUUUGUUUGAUCCCCAGUAGUGCAAAAAAAAUAACCUGGCAUAGUGGCUCGUGCCAAUAAUCUUAGCAGUCAGGAGGCUGAGACAGAAGGAUGGCUGCAAGUUCCAGGUCAACCUGGGCUAAAUAGUGAGUUCAAGACCAAUCUGAACUACAUAGUGAGACCUUGUCUCAAAAAACAAGCCCAGUGUGACGGUAAUCCCAACACACUCAGGAGGCUGAGGCAGGAGGAUCGCAGGAGUUCGAGUCCAGCCUGAACUACAUAGUUCAGGGCCAGCCAGUUAAACUAAAUAGCAAGAUGGUCUCAAAAUACAAAAAAAGCAACAAAAAAGAAUUCAAGGCCCAUAUGGGCUUCAUAGUGAGACCCUAUCUUUAAAAAAAUUAGGCACGAGGGGCUGGAAAUGUAGGUCAGUGGCACCAUGACUACCUUGAAAGUGUAAGGUCCUGAGUUCGAUCCCUGGUAGCAGAAAAAAAAAAUGUUUUUAAAAAAUUAGGCAUGGG